AUCCAGACUCCUACGGGAGGCAGCAGUGGGGAAUAUUGCACAAUGGGGGAAACCCUGAUGCAGCGACGCCGCGUGAGCGAUGAAGUAUUUCGGUAUGUAAAGCUCUAUCAGCAGGGAAGAAGAUGACGGUACCUGACUAAGAAGCCCCGGCUAACUACGUGCCAGCAGCCGCGGUAAUACGUAGGGGGCAAGCGUUAUCCGGAUUUACUGGGUGUAAAGGGAGCGUAGACGGCGAUGCAAGCCAGAUGUGAAAGCCCGGGGCUCAACCCCGGGACUGCAUUUGGAACUGUGUGGCUGGAGUGUCGGAGAGGCAGGCGGAAUCCCUAGUGUAGCGGUGAAAUGCGUAGAUAUUAGGAGGAACACCAGUGGUGAAGGCGGCCUGCUGGACGAUGACUGACGUUGAGGCUCGAAAGCGUGGGGAGCAAACAGGAUUAGAUACCCUAGUA
rnacentral:rRNA from 1 species